CACACGUGUUACAAUGGGUGAUACAGAGGGCCGGCCGCUGGCAACAUCGGUCCAAUCCUUAAAGUCAUCCUCAGUUCGGACUGGGGUCUGCAACCCGACCCCACGAAGCUGGAUUCGCUAGUAAUCGCGCAUCAGCCAUGGCGCGGUGAAUACGUUCCCGGGCCUUGUACACACCGCCCGUCAAGCCAUGAAAGCCGGGGGCGCCUGAAGUCCGUGACCGCGAGGGUCGGCCUAGGGUGAAACCGGUGAUUGGGGCUAAGUCGUAACAAGGUACC
rnacentral:rRNA from 1 species